rnacentral:rRNA from 1 species
UACGAAGGGUGCAAGCGUUAAUCGGAAUCACUGGGCGUAAAGGGUGCGUAGGCGGGUCUUUAAGUCAGGGGUGAAAUCCUGGAGCUCAACUCCAGAACUGCCUUUGAUACUGAAGAUCUUGAGUUCGGGAGAGGUGAGUGGAACUGCGAGUGUAGAGGUGAAAUUCGUAGAUAUUCGCAAGAACACCAGUGGCGAAGGCGGCUCACUGGCCCGAUACUGACGCUGAUGCACGAAAGCGUGGGGAGCAAACAGG